rnacentral:rRNA from 1 species
UGGGGAAUAUUGCACAAUGGGGGAAACCCUGAUGCAGCGACGCCGCGUGAGCGAAGAAGUAUUUCGGUAUGUAAAGCUCUAUCAGCAGGGAAGAAAAUGACGGUACCUGACUAAGAAGCACCGGCUAAAUACGUGCCAGCAGCCGCGGUAAUACGUAUGGUGCAAGCGUUAUCCGGAUUUACUGGGUGUAAAGGGAGCGUAGACGGCUGUGUAAGUCUGAAGUGAAAGCCCGAGGCUCAACCCCGGGACUGCUUUGGAAACUAUGCAGCUAGAGUGUCGGAGGGGUAAGUGGAAUUCCUAGUGUAGCGGUGAAAUGCGUAGAUAUUAGGAGGAACACCAGUGGCGAAGGCGGCUUACUGGACGAUCACUGACGCUGAGGCUCGAAAGCGUGGGGAGCAAACAGGAUUAGAUACCCUGGUAGU